UACGGAGGGUGCAAGCGUUAAUCGGAAUUACUGGGCGUAAAGCGUGCGCAGGCGGUUUGUUAAGUCUGUUGUGAAAUCCCCGAGCUCAACUUGGGAAUUGCAAUGGAUACUGGCAGGCUGGAGUAUGGUAGAGGCAAGCGGAAUUCCGGGUGUAGCGGUGGAAUGCGUAGAGAUCCGGAAGAACACCGAAGGCGAAGGCGGCUUGCUGGGCAUUGUCUGACGCUGAGGCGCGAAAGCGUGGGGAGCGAACAGG
rnacentral:rRNA from 1 species